AAGAAACGAAUCGGCGCUGAGACUAGUCACAGUUUCCAGAUGCACGGCUCGACUAG
rnacentral:pre_miRNA from 1 species